UUAUUAAAGAAAUAGUAUUAGCAGUUUUAAAUCUGGAUUCAUAGUAAGAGCUACAAUCAGUGACCAAGGUUCUGCCAAUGUUGCUGCUAUUAAGUCAUUAAUAUCAGAUUCUAAUGCUGAACUCCUACGUAGUAACAAAUAUACCAAUGACAUCUGUUAUAAAAUCGGCCCCAACUGUACCAUAUCUAUGAUGUACCUCAUUUAUUGAAAUGUUUUCGCAAUAAUUUUCAGAAAAAACCUACUCAUUGGCAACCAAAGGGCAAAGUGGGAGUAUAUUGAGAGACUUUAUAAAGUGGAUGGUUUUGGUGGCAGAGCAAGAAGCACCAAACUUACUGAGAAGCACAUAAAUCCAACUUCAUAUGACAAAAUGAAGGUCAAAUUUGCAGCCCAAGUUUUUAGCCGGCAAGUGGCUACAUCACUAGAAAUCCAGAUGAAGUCUCUGCUAUCUCUCCAGGAUCAUGAUUACAUAAGUUUAAAUGAAGACAUUGGAAAUGGUUUGUUCACAGCAGAAAUUCUUCUUUUAUAAAUAAUUUGUUUGAUAGUUUAAAUGGUUUUGGUCAUUAUGGGAAUAAGUUAAAACAUGCUCUUUCAUAUAAUUCGGAGCACAUUGCAUUCUGGAAUGAUGCUGUGAAAAAGCUAGCUUCAAUGCGCUUUGACGCUUCCAAUGAAAGGGAAAGGAAGCCUUUAUCACUGAAGCAUUUUGAACAUAAUAUAAAAACAAUAAAACAUUUGUGGUCAGAUCUGCUGAGAAUUGAUGGUGUUAAAUUUUUAAGUCUUAGACGUCUUAAUCAAGAUCCGAUAGAAAACUUUUUUGGUCAAAUAAGGGCACAUGGUAAUUUUAGUACAAAUCCUAAUUGUACUCAUUUUGUAUCGGCUUUUAAAACCUUGUUGAUUAACAACAUUACUACCGGUAAAUCUUUAUACACUAAUUGUUCUGAUGAUGAUGACAAAAUGUUGGGAACAUUAAAACAUUUAGUCAGCCACCAAAAAUAUGGUUCAUACACUGAUAGUCUUCAAUGUAAUGAAACUAACUUUAUAGAAAUUUCUAUACCUAACGAGAAUAUAUUCCAACAUAAGUCUGUACCAUAUAUUGCUGGUGCAGUUUGUCGUUUUUUGAUGUCCAAUUUGAACUGCAAAGAUUGUGAUAAUUGUACAAAAGCACUAUUAUCUCAGAGAGAGUCAUUUCACGAAUUAAUUAAUUUAAGAGAAUAUAGUUCCAAUGUAGAUAGGUUAUGUUAUCCUUCUAAUAAUUUUAGUCAAAUGGUCUGGCAGAGUAUUUACAUUAUUGACAAGAUGAUGCCAUUUCUUUGCAGUGUUUAUAUUUAUUCUGACUUAAUAAGUAAUUUAAUAAAAUAUAUUGACACUACUUGGUACAACUGUAAUAUUCACAAAACGGCUGUUAUUAAAGCUUUUGGUCCUACAUAGUUAGAAUGCAAGUUAAGCAGUGGUGUAUUAAUUUUAAUAAUAGAAUGAAUAAUAUUGAUUCAAGGCCUAAAGAUAUAGAAAUGGAAACUCUAAUCCGUGAGAAAGUCACAAAAGGAUUGAGUUAUAGAUCACAAAGAAGGCGUAGUUCCUAAUCUCACUUAAUUAAAGUUCUUCAUAGUAUUUUGUCCACAAUUAUUACGAUUUUUGCAAAUGAAAUUGAUGUUUUUUAAAGUGUAUUACCCACAUUUUUGUGGUUUUAAAUUAGCUAUUAUGCUUUCUGUUUAUUGUAUAAAAUCAUAGUAGUUUUUAAAAUAAUCUUCAUUAUGGUGACUGUUAAGCAAAUAGUUGUUAAAAUCUUAUAUACAUAAUUAUGCUUGUACAACCUAAAAUGAGCCUACCAGAUAAUUGUCAAGUAAAUAAAUUACAUUUCUACAAAAAGUAUUAUGUGUAUGUUUCCCAAAUUGUUCAUAUUUUUAUUGAUUUACAUUGUGCAGAAUUAGUAAUUUUACCUUUAAUUUAAUAUUAUAUUUUCAUUAUAAUGUAUUCAACAUUUUCUGUAUUUUGUAGCAUUUUUAGUAGCAAAUGUGCCAUUAUAUGAUAUUGCAAAAUGUUAAAUUAUGCAUGGAAUGCUUUUCGUGAGAGAAUAAUCAUAUUCAAAUAAAUUCUUAGUUUUGUGUUGUUAGAUUAGUUAUUAUACCUAAUGCAUAGUGUAUAAUAGUGAAUAGCUUAAGUAUGGCUCUUUAUAUUGUGUAAAAUUAUAGUGCUAGUCUUCACAAUUAUCUUAAUUUUGCUAACUGUUAAGCAAGCCGUUGUUAAAAUCUCAUAUGCAUAAUUAUGCUUGAACACGGUAAAAUAAAAAUGUUUAUGUUUCCAAAAUAGUUCAUAUUUCUAUUCAUUUACUAUGUACAAAAAUAUUAAUUUUACCUUUUUAUUUAAAAUCAUGUUUUCAAUAUAAAAUAUCUAACAUUUUUGUCCUUUUGUAGUAAUUUUUCUUUCAAAUGUGCCACUAGUCAGUCAUUGUAUUGUCAUUAUUUUUAAUUUUAUGUAAAUUGUUACUGUUAAAUUUAUAUGCAAUCCAAUUUUGUUUCUUGUAAGUUAUUGUUGAUUUAUAUGACAAAAUAUUAAUAAGUGGAAGACAACCAAAAAUCAUGUUGUUGCAUUUGCCUUUAUAAUAUUGAAUUGUAAUGAUGAAAAUUAAAAUUAUGUUGGUAAAUGUAAGCGGCUGAACGGUGUGCACUAUUUAUGUAUUUGCUUUAUGCCAGUCCAUGUUUUUAAUCCGUGCACCACCUUAUAUAAGCUAUGUGACUACUUUGUAUACAACAUCUAUAAAAAAUAUUUGGUAAUUGAUGACAAAAAAAAUAAGCCCGGAGUUUCUUUUCUGCCUUUUCUUCUUCGGGUAGUCAUCUCUUAGGUAGCUAGUGAAAGGCUGGUGGAUUAGCUAGGUAGGGGCCUAUAUUGUAUUCUUCGACGGCGAAGAUCGUGAUGCAUUCCUUUUAUUUUAUUAAGAUUAUAUCAUAUACCUUUUGUCCUGUCGGCCCGAGCUGACUUCUUUCGUUUUUUUAUCCUUUAUAUAUCAAUUAUUUUUAAAUUUUAGCGUCUGUAGUGACUCAGUGGUUUGUUCAUUAAUUUAUUUGAUUUGUUUUAAACGUAUCAUAAGUACAGCAAUAACUUUGUUUACCUAUAUUUUAUUUUAUUGAACAGAAAAUGCAAUUAUACGGGCUGCAAUUUUAAGUAAAAAUUAUUUUCGCUGGCUAUCGGUAGAUUCUGAAAUUAUGGUAAAUUGGGCGUGAAAAGUAAUGAAAACAUUACUAAUAAAUCUUUAUAUUUAGAUAAGAAAAGUUGUUUUAUUUUAUUUGUCAAUAUUUUAAAUGGGUAAACACGUGACACUACAUUUACGCCGUGUACUCACUGUAGCAAAUCGAUAACCGAUUUUUUGUAUUAGUGUGAAACCAGCCUAAGCACAUCCUUAAUUAUUUAAAAAUCGGUAUAUUCGGAAAAAUAUCGAUUUUCAAUACGGCUACGUCUCUAGUACUACGGCCAUAUUUAUUUUUCAACAUAACCUGUGUGUAAGUGAGAAUAAUAAGGGUCAUAGGUUUUUCACCCGGGAAAGAAAGAGAGUUCCAACUAUUCAUGAAUUAAUUGUAUAACAUAAUAUAGACAUGAAACGCAUGCUAGUGUGGGUUUCCUUAUCGUGUUAAAAUCAAUGUAUGAAGUUAACCGUCUCUCUAGUUUAUUGGUCUCUGGUGUCAAGUAAAUUUUGUUUAAAUAGCUGUAUAAUGUGGAUAGUUCUCAUUUUAUAAUUUUACUAUUUUAUUUGGAAGUAAAGACUGGAGUGUAAUUUUUAUACUUGAUUGGCUUAUACAUUUAUGUGAUAAGAACCGUUUAUUUAGUAGUUUAACAGGCCUUUACAAUUGUUUUAUUUAGCUUAAUUAUUGAUCUAUUAAUUGCUCAGAAUAAAAAUAUGAGUUACUGCAAUAGUAAUAGUUCUAUUUCUUCCAUAAAAUCCUAUAGUCCAAAAAUACAGGGUCUCGAAUCGACUUUACAACAAAGUAUUGUGCAUUUUAAAGAAAUUGUACUAGAUUUUGAACAACUUUAUAUUGAGUCAGAAAAUUUUAAAACACAGCUUCAAUUGCAGAAACAGAUGUGCGAAAGUAAAACCUGUAGAAGCUCUGAUGAGUUGAAGAAAGAUCUUGAAA
rnacentral:misc_RNA from 1 species